GGGUGUUAGCCAGGGUGUACACAGGUGUAUACAGGUGUAAGCAGGUGUCUAGCAGGUGUAGGCAGGGUGUACAGCAGGGUGUAUAGCAGGGUGUAUAGCAGGGUGUACAGCAGGUGUACAGCAUGGUGUACAGCCGGGUGUAUAGCAGGGUGUUACAGCAGGGUGUACAGCGUGUGCGGGUGUAUAGCAGUGUCAGCAGGGUGUACCAGCAGGGUGUACAGCAGUGUGCUAGCAGGGUGUAAGCAGGGUGUACAGCAGGGUGUACAGCAGGGUGUACAGCAGGGGGUACAGCAGGGUGUAUAG
rnacentral:lncRNA from 1 species